rnacentral:tRNA from 1 species
AGGGGAGUAGCUCAAUUGGCAGAGCACCGGUCUCCAAAACCGGGUGUUGUGGGUUCGAGUCCCGCCUCCCCUGCCA